CUCGAGUAGACUAUCAAGUAGCUUCUCUGAAACACGUUAUAAAUAUACUUCUAGUUCAUAAUUAAUAGUUUCUUCUAAAUGGAAAUAUCCCCUUUUUUCAUUUUUUAAAGAAAUAAAGUUGCAACUCAAGUUUCUACAGGGGCUGUAAACAGUGAAUAAACAUGGCUUUUUCUCACCUAACCUGAAAAAAAAUGAAAAAGCAAUUAACAUCGGAAGUACUAGCCCUAUACAUCUCGAAAAAGUGUGUUACUUAUGCCUCACCCUGUAUUACAUAAAUUAUGUGUGUCUGAGGUACACAUGCAAGUAAAUAAUGAAGUGAGAUGGAUAUUGUAAAUCGAUGGGAUCGCUUCUCUUUCGCUUAAAAGAUGAAAAGGAACGACGAAGUGGUCAGCACAAUGCUGGACCGCUUUUAUCCCUCACCACAAUGAAUCAGUGUGUUUAUUGAGUUGAAUCGGUCUAUGGAUGACUAAGAAUUCGCUGUCCAAUGGGGAGAAAAGAAAUGGUCAAAUGAUGUACCGUACUAGCAAGCCAAACAGCAAUUCAAAAUUUAAA